rnacentral:lncRNA from 1 species
UGAAACAAAACCAAAAAAAAAAAAAAAAAAAAAAAAAAAAAAAAAAAAAAAAAAAAAGAAAGAAACAAAACCUACUAAUCCCUAAUAGCUAUAUUUAAGGCUGAAGUCUGAAAGCUAAAUAGGUAUAACCAAAUCAAUAUUACAGCACCAGAGUACUCUCAUUGUAAGCAAAGUGUCUACCAGGAAAUAAAAAGCAUCCAAUGAUAGAAAGUUUCACCUACACGUUAAUCUCAUGGCAUCUUUACAAAUCAGGUGCAGAGAGUCGAGGGGAUGUGUCUGAUGUCAUGCAGCUGCUGAAAAGAGAAACCAGGCCCAGGCCUCAGACACAGCAUCCUACUUUGCGGCAAAAGGAGUUGCAACUUCCGGUAGAUCUUCUAAAUCCUGCUGCACAUAAUGGAAUUCAAGCUCAUGACUGUAGGUAGGUCUUCAUAUCAUCUCACCAGCGACAUGGUCUUUUCUCUUUCCUGCUUGACCACUGUUGACCCUGGGCACCUGGCAACUGGGGGAUGGCUUAGAAAUGCCUGGUUCAGAUUGUGACCGAACAAGAAAACUUCAUUCUGUUUUCUUCUCUAGGGGUUCUCUGGGCCCGACUUUUCUCAUCUUAAAAAUGAGGGUUGUUUUUUUUUUCCUCUUCCAUCUCAACAAAUCUGAGACUGGUAUCUCCCCUAGUAAGAGUUUUAUUUUCUUUUAAAGAUUUAUUUAUUUAUUUGAGAGAGAGAAAGAGAGAGCAUGAGCAAGCAUGAGCAGGGGAAGGGACAGAGGCAGAGACAGAGACAGAGAGAAUCCACAAGCAGACUCUCCGCUGAACACAGAGCCCAAUGCAGGGCUCAAUCCCAGGACCCUGAGGUCUUGACCUGAGCAGAAACCAAGAGGCAGCCUCUUUACUUACUGAGCCACCCAGGUUCCCCUCCCCCAGUAAACGUUUUAAAUUGGGGUGAGGAAGGUGAGAAAUAAGGAGAAAAUGAUUGGAAUCCCUAGGAUAGGAGGGCCAGGGGGAUUUUCUCAAACUCUAAGUGAGAUUUCCAGCCAAAGAGUUUUCUAAUAUCCCUUCUAAAUAUGAACCUAUGACUACCUCCACACCCCACCACCCUUUAAUUUUCUCUCCAUUUGUUCCCCAGUGAGGUUGGGGCCACAUCUCUUUUAAGAUUACAUCAGUAAUAUUUUUUGUUAGUGGUCUCUGAGCUUGCUCACAAAACAUGAGUUCAUAGAAAGCCCUACUGGUUGCCAAGUUUUAGCAGUAAUUGGCAUUUAUACUUUGAGAAAUCUUUAUCAAAAAUCUUAUACAUAUAUCAAAUAAUCCAUUUGUCAAAACUAACUCCCCAUAAAUGGUUUUUUUUUCCUGGCAUAUAUGAUCACAGGUUAUUGCUUAAGUUUAUAUAUGAUUUAAUUGGAGAUGUUUAAUCACCAAGGGUUCAACUUUGC